UACAGGGGGCUCGAGCGUUAGUCGGAAUCACUGGGCUUAAAGGGUGCGUAGGCGGCUCGCCAAGUGCUUUGUGAAAUCCCACAGCUCAACUGUGGAACAGCAGGGCAAACUGGCGAGCUUGAGGCAGGUAGGGGCCGGAAGAACAGUUGGUGGAGCGGUGAAAUGCGUAGAUAUCAACUGGAAUGCCGAUGGGGAAGCCGUCCGGCUGGGCCUGUCCUGACGCUGAGGCACGAAAGCGUGGGGAGCAAAACGG
rnacentral:rRNA from 1 species